rnacentral:rRNA from 1 species
UACGUAGGGCGCAAGCGUUAUCCGGAAUUAUUGGGCGUAAAGAGCUCGUAGGCGGUUUGUCGCGUCUGCCGUGAAAGUCCGGGGCUCAACUCCGGAUCUGCGGUGGGUACGGGCAGACUAGAGUGAUGUAGGGGAGACUGGAAUUCCCGGUGUAGCGGUGAAAUGCGCAGAUAUCAGGAAGAACACCAAUGGCGAAAGCAGCUUCUGGGACGGUACUGACGCUGAGACGCGAAAGCGUGGGGAGCGAACAGG